rnacentral:rRNA from 1 species
UACGGGGGGGGCAAGCGUUGUUCGGAAUUACUGGGCGUAAAGGGCUCGUAGGCGGCCAACUAAGUCGGAUGUGAAAUCCCCAGGCUCAACUUGGGAACUGCAUCCGAUACUGGAUGGCUUGAAUUCGGGAGAGGGAUGCAGAAUUCCAGGUGUAGCGGUGAAAUGCGUAGAUAUCUGGAGGAACACCGAUGGCGAAGGCAAUCCCCUGGGCCUGCACUGACGCUCAUGCACGAAAGCGUGGGGAGCAAACAGG